rnacentral:rRNA from 1 species
GACGCAGCUAACGCAUUAAGCGCCCCGCCUGGGGAGUACGAUCGCAAGAUUAAAACUCAAAGGAGUUGACGGGGCCCCGCACAAGCAGCGGAGCAUGCGGCUUAAUUCGACGCAACGCGAAGAACCUUACCAAGGCUUGACAUAUACAGAAAUAUGGCAGAGAUGUCAUAGCGGUAAAACGUCUGUAUACAGGUGGUGCAUGGUUGUCGUCAGCUCGUGUCGUGAGAUGUUGGGUUAAGUCCCGCAACGAGCGCAACCCUCGUUCUGUGUUGCCAGCAUUUGGUUGGGGACUCACAGGAGACUGCCGGGGUUAACUCGGAGGAAGGUGGGGAUGACGUCAAAUCAUCAUGCCCCUUAUGUCUUGGGCUGCACGCAUGCUACAAUGGCUGGUACAAAGGGCUGCAAUACUGCAAAGUGGAGCGAAUCCCAAAAAGCCAGUCUCAGUUCGGAUUGGGGUCUGCAACUCGACCCCAUGAAGUCGGAGUUGCUAGUAAUCGUAGAUCAGCAACGCUACGGUGAAUACGUUCCCGGGGCUUGUACACACCGCCCGUCACAUCACGAAAGUCGGUAACACCCAAAGUCAGUGGCCC